ensembl:lncRNA
UAACAAGUUGAUAUUUACGAGAGAGGAGACGUUAAUUUCUGGCAGAAACCCCUCCCGAACAGCUCCGGCUGCACGAGGUGCACCGCUAGGUGGCACAGCCCACUUACAGAUCGCUGCCCUGUGCUCCCGUGCUGCCCGGGGCUGGGUGUGCCGCAAUCACAGCUCACAGAAAUGUAUAAACAAGCCAGAGAAGCGGCCAGCAUGAAAAAUUGCGAUGGAGGCAAGAAGACUUUUCAGGUAUCAGUCUUGAAUCCUGCUGGCAAACCGAGGUGGAGGCCUUGAUGUGGAAGAGAAAUAAAUGAUUCUUCUGUUUCAGGCAAAAUACAUAUGAAAUAUUUCAUACUACACCGUGGAUGCAUCAUGGAUGCUUGGACUACAGGACAAGAGCUUGUCAGGCCAUUCUCUGCAGAAAGAGUGCCUCUACCUCCAUGUCCAGGAGUGGAGUGAACGUCAUCAGUCACUGAAAACCACCCCAAACACCCACAGAUCCACAGAAUGGUUGACUUCCAGAGGGACAUCUUGGACCCAGGUGUCCCAGGACUGGCUUCCAUUAUGGCAGAAGCAGGACUACAGCCCACAGCUGCUGGCGGAGUGAAGACUCCCACUGUGCUGUUCUGUUUCAGCAUAAUGUACCUGGUUUGUGUUCCCUCCUGAACUCUAAUGCUUUAAGCAGUUAGAUUCAACACUUUGAAAGGGUAGAUAACAGUGGAAUAAGGGGAAAUGUUUUUAAGUUGAAGGAGGGAAGAUUUAGGUUGAAUGUCAAGGGGAAGUUCUUUACUGUGAGAGUGGUGAGGUGAUGGAACAGGUUGCCCAGAGAGGCUGUGGAUGCCAUGUCUCUGGAGGUGUUCAAGGCCAGGUUGGAUGGGGCCCGCGGUAGCCUGGUCUGGAAUUAAAUGUGGAGGUUGGUGGCCCUGCCUGUGGUGGCGGGGUUGGAGCUCCAUGAUCCUUGAGGUGCCUUCCAACCUGGGCCAUUCUGUAAUUCUGUGAUUUACUUAAUGCAUGCACCAGUAAUCUGGGAUUUGAACAACUUUCAGAAUUUGGACAGCAGUAUCAAAACCACACACAGUUUUUUUAGCAGGACAAUUGGUUGUUAAUGAUUACUUAGACAAAACAAAAAGCAAACUUAAGGAUCACAAUAAAUAAUUUCAAGAUAACUGGACUGUUUUCUAUUUAGUGACAUCAGACAGGUGCGUGAGCUGUUUCUGUUUAAAAUAUACAUUCUUUCACUUGUCUGUACAAUGGACUUCUGUACAUAAGGAUAUGACCUUCACUUUAAAGUAGUAAAGUAGUGGCAUUUCAGUGUGUAUAGCUCCUUGUUUUCACAACAUAGUUUACCGCUUUGCAAUUACAGCAUUUUUUUUCCCCUGUGAGUAUAGAAUUUCAGCCUGUAUCUCUUGAUCAUGAAGAAAAACCAUCCUAGGCAUUGCAAAAGAGUUAGGCAUAGAUCAGUCAGGAAUUAACAGGUUAGUUAAUUUCAAGUGAUUGAGUUUUAAACAGUGUUUGGAUUAUCCCAUGUAAAUGCACCUCAUGCUGUAAAUCACAGUGGUAAAACACAGCGAUUCCUGAGGGUAUAUCAAUCACAAACCUUCCCUAAUGAUUUUAAGAAUCUCCCAAAUGAAUUGGUAUAUUGACAGAACUCUGUCCACGGUGGGGAAUAUUUGUAGUUCAACAGCUGUAAAUCCUAGAAGAGUUGAAUAAUAUUACACUAAAACCAACUCUGUGACUGUUGCACACAUUCGCUCUACUUUCUCCAACCAUAUUAGGUUAUUUAACUGCUCUAGCAGAGAAGUGCUGUCUAUCACUGCUGUCUCCACCAGAAGGCUCACAACAAGAGGAUGUGCAUCUUGGGAGGCACUGAAGAUGUGCAUCCCACCCUAUUUGCAGACAAGGUAUCAAUCAGUUGUGUAAGCAACUGACUACAUGCUCAGGAUGAAGUUCCUCCCCUGAUGAGCAAAGUAGGCAUCACUUCAGUAUAGACAUGGUCAAUUCCUGCUUCUUGAUGAUACACCUUUUCUGAGUGUCUGAACUGUGUCAUUUUUAAUCCAGGGUCCUUGUGCUAAGCAUAAUUUGGAAGGAGAAUGAAAGAAACCCACUAUAUACUGGCAGAUGUUAGUUUAUCCCAUCUACAACAACUUGGGUACGAAUAAGUAUAUCAGAAGUAUUGUGAAAGUGCCCUGAUUUUGAUGGGAAAGAAAUAGAUCUUUGCUGGAGGUUGAGAUUUUCAAGGUUUGGUGUCCAGCUAUAGUGAUAAGUGAUGAGAGAUUUAAAAGUGGCAUCUUUCAUGGUGUGAGUACAUGUUACAUGCUGCAUAUGGCUGUAAGAGAACAUUUCCUCCAAUGAAAUUACAUACAUAAUUAAUGCCAUGGACAUUGUUAUGCAAGAACAGUGGCAUAGUUUUGAACUAUUC